GGGACCCUGCAAGGAAAACCACAUGUUAUGUUCGUUCAUCAAACAUCUUUAAAGGAUGACUCGUUUUAUUAGGUUGGAGAUACAAUCGGACGCACAGAGCCUUAGUUCCUCACCAUUGGCCCGGGACCUUUGGUGACAUCUUGCUCCAAUUUGAGCGAGGCCGUGCCAUUGGCCAGUUCUUUCAGAUCAUACCCAGCGCAGAAAUGUCCUCCUGCAAAGAGAGACGGCCAAAUUAGAAAGUGCGGCAGCUGCUAAGUCAAAGUCUGUGCUCUGCAAUUUGGAUAGAUUUUUGCUUUGUCUUCUGGUCGCUGCCCGACUGCAUACAAGAAAUGUAAAACAUUCCGAGUAGAUCGUCGUCAGUUGAGCUUAACUGCAACGGCUUGACAUUUGGAUUGGACCUGACCGCAAACUCACAGAAAUCGGAGCUCCCGACACUUUGAAUAGAAUACUGAGAACCUGCAGGGAGCAAUCAUUCCCAUUUUUUCUUUUUAAUGAAGCCAAUGAAAACGAUUGGUGCUAAUUUGAACAAAAUGGAUUCCUUAUGUUUUGAAAGCACAACAUCCAGAGUGGAGUCUCCUUGCUUGUCAUCCCAUUGCACAGACAGGCUGCUAAUCACCCCCCGAAGGUGCAGACACUUGCUCCAGGUUGAAAGCAUUGUGGAUGGGAUGAAUUUUUUGGAGGCGUGCUGACGCCUUGAGUGCAGCGACAUCUAAAGGCGCAGCAACACACGUGCACAAAAAGGUUUCCGUGUAGCAGGACGUGCAGAGGGAGGGCUGGAGCACAGAUUGGACCCCCCAAACCUGAUACAGAUGGAAUAGCAACGGUGAUCAGAACAUACAUGUUUUUUGUACCUUGCGUUGUGCUGCAGAAGAACUUUACUGCCGCCAGG